AUAAUGCAGUCGAGCGCGGGAAGCGAGUGGAUCCCUUCGGGGUGAAGCUCGUGGAACGAGCGGCGGACGGGUGAGUAACACGUGGGCAACCUACCUGUAAGAUCGGAAUAACCCCGGGAAACCGGGGCUAAUGCCGGGUAAUACUUUUCUUCGCAUGAAGGAAAGUUGAAAGAUGGCUUCUUGCUAUCACUUACAGAUGGGCCCGCGGCGCAUUAGCUAGUUGGUGAGGUAACGGCUCACCAAGGCGACGAUGCGUAGCCGACCUGAGAGGGUGAUCGGCCACACUGGGACUGAGACACGGCCCAGACUCCUACGGGAGGCAGCAGUAGGGAAUCUUCCGCAAUGGACGAAAGUCUGACGGAGCAACGCCGCGUGAACGAUGAAGGUCUUCGGAUCGUAAAGUUCUGUUGUUAGGGAAGAACAAGUACCGUGCGAAUAGAGCGGUACCUUGACGGUACCUAACGAGGAAGCCCCGGCUAACUACGUGCCAGCAGCCGCGGUAAUACGUAGGGGGCAAGCGUUGUCCGGAAUUAUUGGGCGUAAAGCGCGCGCAGGCGGUUCCUUAAGUCUGAUGUGAAAGCCCACGGCUCAACCGUGGAGGGUCAUUGGAAACUGGGGAACUUGAGGACAGAAGAGGAGAGUGGAAUUCCACGUGUAGCGGUGAAAUGCGCAGAUAUCAGGAGGG
rnacentral:rRNA from 1 species